AGUGGCGAAGGCGGCCUACUGGGCACCAACUGACGCUGAGGCUCGAAAGUGUGGGUAGCAAACAGGAUUAGAUACCCUGGUAGUCCACACCGUAAACGAUGAUUACUAGGUGUUGGAGGAUUGACCCCUUCAGUGCCGCAGUUAACACAAUAAGUAAUCCACCUGGGGAGUACGACCGCAAGGUUGAAACUCAAAGGAAUUGACGGGGGCCCGCACAAGCAGUGGAGUAUGUGGUUUAAUUCGAAGCAACGCGAAGAACCUUACCAGGUCUUGACAUCCGAUGCAUAGCACAGAGAUGUGUGAAAUCCUUCGGGACAUCGAGACAGGUGGUGCAUGGUUGUCGUCAGCUCGUGUCGUGAGAUGUUGGGUUAAGUCCCGCAACGAGCGCAACCCUUAUGGUCAGUUACUACGCAAGAGGACUCUGGCCAGACUGCCGUUGACAAAACGGAGGAAGGUGGGGAUGACGUCAAAUCAUCAUGCCCUUUAUGACUUGGGCUACACACGUACUACAAUGGCGUUAAACAAAGAGAAGCAAGACCGCGAGGUGGAGCAAAACUCAAAAACAACGUCUCAGUUCAGAUUGCAGGCUGCAACUCGCCUGCAUGAAGUCGGAAUUGCUAGUAAUCGCGGAUCAGCAUGCCGCGGUGAAUACGUUCCCGGGCCUUGUACACACCGCCCGUCACACCAUGAGAGCCGGGGGGACCCGAAGUCGGUAGUCUAACCGCAAGGAGGACGCCGCCGAAGGUAAAACUGGUGAUUGGGGUGAAGUCGUAACAAGGUAGCCGUAGGAGAACCUGCGGCUG
rnacentral:rRNA from 1 species